UGGCUCAGGAUGAACGCUGGCGGCGUGCUUAACACAUGCAAGUCGAACGAUGACUUCUGUGCUUGCACAGAAUGAUUAGUGGCGAACGGGUGAGUAACACGUGAGUAACCUGCCCUUGACUUCGGGAUAAGCCUGGGAAACCGGGUCUAAUACCGGAUACGACCUCCUGGCGCAUGCCAUGGGGGUGGAAAGCUUUAUUGCGGUUUUGGAUGGACUCGCGGCCUAUCAGCUUGUUGGUUGGGGUAAUGGCCCACCAAGGCGACGACGGGUAGCCGGCCUGAGAGGGUGACCGGCCACACUGGGACUGAGACACGGCCCAGACUCCUACGGGAGGCAGCAGUGGGGAAUAUUGCACAAUGGGCGAAAGCCUGAUGCAGCGACGCCGCGUGAGGGAUGACGGCCUUCGGGUUGUAAACCUC
rnacentral:rRNA from 1 species